GUCGAGAAUAAUUCACAAUGGGGGAAACCCUGAUGGUGCAACGCCGCGUGGAGGAUGAAGGUCUUCGGAUUGUAAACUCCUGUCAUCUGGGAGUAAGACCUGACGGUGAAUAGCCGGCAGGGUUGAUAGUACCAGAAGAGGAAGGGACGGCUAACUUCGUGCCAGCAGCCGCGGUAAUACGAAGGUCCCAAGCGUUGUUCGGAAUCACUGGGCGUAAAGGGAGCGUAGGCGGCGUGGUAAGUCAGAUGUGAAAUCCCGGGGCGCAACCCCGGAACUGCAGCCGAUACUGCCAUGCUUGAGGGUUGGAGAGGUAGCGGGAAUUCUCGGUGUAGCAGUGAAAUGCGUGGAGAACGAGAGGAACACUCGUGGCGAAGGCGAGCUACUGGACAACAUCUGACGCUGAGGCUCGAAGGCCAGGGGAGCAAAAGGGAUUAGAUACCCCUGUAGUCC
rnacentral:rRNA from 1 species